UUAAGCGACUAAGCGUACACGGUGGAUGCCCUGGCAGUCAGAGGCGAUGAAGGACGUGCUAAUCUGCGAUAAGCGUCGGUGAGGUGAUAUGAACCGUUAUAACCGGCGAUUUCCGAAUGGGGAAACCCAGUGUGUUUCGACACACUAUCAUUAACUGAAUCCAUAGGUUAAUGAGGCGAACCGGGGGAACUGAAACAUCUAAGUACCCCGAGGAAAAGAAAUCAACCGAGAUUCCCCCAGUAGCGGCGAGCGAACGGGGAGGAGCCCAGAGCCUGAAUCAGUGUGUGUGUUAGUGGAAGCGUCUGGAAAGGCGCGCGAUACAGGGUGACAGCCCCGUACACAAAAAUGCACAUAUUGUGAGCUCGAUGAGUAGGGCGGGACACGUGGUAUCCUGUCUGAAUAUGGGGGGACCAUCCUCCAAGGCUAAAUACUCCUGACUGACCGAUAGUGAACCAGUACCGUGAGGGAAAGGCGAAAAGAACCCCGGCGAGGGGAGUGAAAAAGAACCUGAAACCGUGUACGUACAAGCAGUGGGAGCCUCUUAAUGGGGUGACUGCGUACCUUUUGUAUAAUGGGUCAGCGACUUAUAUUCUGUAGCAAGGUUAACCGAAUAGGGGAGCCGAAGGGAAACCGAGUCUUAACUGGGCGUUAAGUUGCAGGGUAUAGACCCGAAACCCGGUGAUCUAGCCAUGGGCAGGUUGAAGGUUGGGUAACACUAACUGGAGGACCGAACCGACUAAUGUUGAAAAAUUAGCGGAUGACUUGUGGCUGGGGGUGAAAGGCCAAUCAAACCGGGAGAUAGCUGGUUCUCCCCGAAAGCUAUUUAGGUAGCGCCUCGUGAAUUCAUCUCCGGGGGUAGAGCACUGUUUCGGCAAGGGGGUCAUCCCGACUUACCAACCCGAUGCAAACUGCGAAUACCGGAGAAUGUUAUCACGGGAGACACACGGCGGGUGCUAACGUCCGUCGUGAAGAGGGAAACAACCCAGACCGCCAGCUAAGGUCCCAAAGUCAUGGUUAAGUGGGAAACGAUGUGGGAAGGCCCAGACAGCCAGGAUGUUGGCUUAGAAGCAGCCAUCAUUUAAAGAAAGCGUAAUAGCUCACUGGUCGAGUCGGCCUGCGCGGAAGAUGUAACGGGGCUAAACCAUGCACCGAAGCUGCGGCAGCGACGCUUAUGCGUUGUUGGGUAGGGGAGCGUUCUGUAAGCCUGUGAAGGUGUGCUGUGAGGCAUGCUGGAGGUAUCAGAAGUGCGAAUGCUGACAUAAGUAACGAUAAAGCGGGUGAAAAGCCCGCUCGCCGGAAGACCAAGGGUUCCUGUCCAACGUUAAUCGGGGCAGGGUGAGUCGACCCCUAAGGCGAGGCCGAAAGGCGUAGUCGAUGGGAAACAGGUUAAUAUUCCUGUACUUGGUGUUACUGCGAAGGGGGGACGGAGAAGGCUAUGUUGGCCGGGCGACGGUUGUCCCGGUUUAAGCGUGUAGGCUGGUUUUCCAGGCAAAUCCGGAAAACCAAGGCUGAGGCGUGAUGACGAGGCACUACGGUGCUGAAGCGACAAAUGCCCUGCUUCCAGGAAAAGCCUCUAAGCAUCAGGUAACAUCAAAUCGUACCCCAAACCGACACAGGUGGUCAGGUAGAGAAUACCAAGGCGCUUGAGAGAACUCGGGUGAAGGAACUAGGCAAAAUGGUGCCGUAACUUCGGGAGAAGGCACGCUGAUAUGUAGGUGAAGCGACUUGCUCGUGGAGCUGAAAUCAGUCGAAGAUACCAGCUGGCUGCAACUGUUUAUUAAAAACACAGCACUGUGCAAACACGAAAGUGGACGUAUACGGUGUGACGCCUGCCCGGUGCCGGAAGGUUAAUUGAUGGGGUUAGCGGUAACGCGAAGCUCUUGAUCGAAGCCCCGGUAAACGGCGGCCGUAACUAUAACGGUCCUAAGGUAGCGAAAUUCCUUGUCGGGUAAGUUCCGACCUGCACGAAUGGCGUAAUGAUGGCCAGGCUGUCUCCACCCGAGACUCAGUGAAAUUGAACUCGCUGUGAAGAUGCAGUGUACCCGCGGCAAGACGGAAAGACCCCGUGAACCUUUACUAUAGCUUGACACUGAACAUUGAGCCUUGAUGUGUAGGAUAGGUGGGAGGCUUUGAAGUGUGGACGCCAGUCUGCAUGGAGCCGACCUUGAAAUACCACCCUUUAAUGUUUGAUGUUCUAACGUGGGCCCCUAAUCGGGGUUGCGGACAGUGUCUGGUGGGUAGUUUGACUGGGGCGGUCUCCUCCUAAAGAGUAACGGAGGAGCACGAAGGUUGGCUAAUCCUGGUCGGACAUCAGGAGGUUAGUGCAAUGGCAUAAGCCAGCUUGACUGCGAGCGUGACGGCGCGAGCAGGUGCGAAAGCAGGUCAUAGUGAUCCGGUGGUUCUGAAUGGAAGGGCCAUCGCUCAACGGAUAAAAGGUACUCCGGGGAUAACAGGCUGAUACCGCCCAAGAGUUCAUAUCGACGGCGGUGUUUGGCACCUCGAUGUCGGCUCAUCACAUCCUGGGGCUGAAGUAGGUCCCAAGGGUAUGGCUGUUCGCCAUUUAAAGUGGUACGCGAGCUGGGUUUAGAACGUCGUGAGACAGUUCGGUCCCUAUCUGCCGUGGGCGCUGGAGAACUGAGGGGGGCUGCUCCUAGUACGAGAGGACCGGAGUGGACGCAUCACUGGUGUUCGGGUUGUCAUGCCAAUGGCACUGCCCGGUAGCUAAAUGCGGAAGAGAUAAGUGCUGAAAGCAUCUAAGCACGAAACUUGCCCCGAGAUGAGUUCUCCCUGAGACUUAGAGUCUCCUGAAGGAACGUUGAAGACGACGACGUUGAUAGGCCGGGUGUGUAAGCGCAGCGAUGCGUUGAGCUAACCGGUACUAAUGAACCGUGAGGUUUAACCUU
rnacentral:rRNA from 2 species